rnacentral:tRNA from 1 species
GCCUGGCUGGUUCAGAUGGUACAGCAUGUGACUCUUGAUCUCAGGACCGUGAGUUCAAGCCCCACAUUGGGCA